rnacentral:rRNA from 1 species
UGUUAUGUUAGUUGCUUUUAUUGUUUGUUUUGUUGGGGUGAUGGGAGGAAUUUUUUUAACUCUUCUUUAUUUUGGUAUAUUUAUUUAUGUUUGUUUUGAUCCAUUUAUUUUGAUUAUAAGAUUAAAUUACCUUAGGGAUAACAGCGUUAUCUC